AUUGAACGCUGGCGGCGUGCUUAACACAUGCAAGUCGAACGGAGUGGCGCACGGGUGAGUAACACGUUGGUGACCUGCCCUGCACUUCGGGCUAAGCCUGGGAAACUGGCUCUAAUACCGGAUAGUGUGGGAUGGGCCCGCGGCCUAACAGCUUGUUGGUGGGGUAAUGGCCUACGAAGGCGGCGACGGGUAGCCGGCCUGAGAGGGUGGACGGCCACAUGGGGACUGAGACACGGCGCAGACUCCUACGGGAGGCAGCAGAGGGGAAUAUUGCACAAUGGGCGCGAGCCUGAUGCGGCGACGCCGCGUGGGGGAUGACGGCCUUCGGGUUGUAAACUCCUUUCUUAAUAGCCGCGGUAGAUGAAGAAGAAGCACCGGCUAACUCCGUGCCAGCAGCCGCGGUAAUAC
rnacentral:rRNA from 1 species